rnacentral:rRNA from 1 species
AAUUCUAGAGCUAAUACUUGCGUCCAAACCCGACUUUUUGGAAGGGUUGUGCUUAUUAGACACUGAACCAACCCGGGUUUCCCGGUUUCUAGUUGAUUGAUGGUAAUCGAACGAAUCGCAUGCUUCGGCGGCGAUGAUUCAUUCAAGUUUCUGACCUAUCAGCUUUCGACGGUAGGGUAUUGGCCUACCGAGGCAUUGACGGGUAACGGAGAAUUAGGGCUUGAUUCCGGAGAGGGAGCCUGAGAAACGGCUACCACAUCUAAGGAAGGCAGCAGGCGCGCAAAUUACCCAAU